rnacentral:rRNA from 1 species
UACGUAGGGGGCAAGCGUUGUCCGGAUUUAUUGGGCGUAAAGAGCGUGUAGGCGGCCAUACAGGUCAGCUGUGAAAACUCGAGGCUCAACCUCGAGACGUCGGUUGAAACCGUAUGGCUAGAGUCCGGAAGAGGAGAGUGGAAUUCCCGGUGUAGCGGUGAAAUUCGUAGAUAUUCGGAAGAACACCAGUGGCGAAGGCGGCUCACUGGCCCGUUACCGACGCUCAGGCGCGACAGCGUGGGGAGCAAACAGG